rnacentral:tRNA from 1 species
GGUCUAUUAGCUUAGUCGUUUAGAGCCUCGGCUAGUAACGUGAAGGUUGCAGCUCGAAACCUGCAUAGACAA